UUAGAGCUCCCAAGAUGGUGGCGGGCUGCUCCCAAGAUGGCGGCAAGCCUUUUCUUCUCUGACCUGGAGUUCUUGGCCUCCCAGAUUCCAAGGAAUGGAACCUUGGGCCAUGUAGUGAGUGUUACAGCUCUAUUAGAAGUCGUGAGUCACGGAAGAGAACUGUGGAACCCAGCAACUAGUGUUCAGCUCCAUCAGGACGAACCUAGGCACUUAGCUGCGCAGGAACAAUGGCAGCCUCCCUUGUUAACCAACCAGUAGGAUGUGAUUCCUUUUGCUAUACAUCUCCUCUGGGCAAGUCAGAGUAAAAGCAAAAAGUAAAUAUACUGAUGCUCUUCAGCUGAGGAGAAAGAUACUCUUCGCUCUACAGCUUCCAACUGCUUACAUUUGAAUGACUUUGCCACAAUGACCCAGACUGAAUGGAGGAAAAAAGAGUGACUGAAUCUAAAACCCUAAAGCUGGAACACAUUUCAGGUAACAAUGUAUGUAAACUGCCACCCCUCCCCGCCCAGAUUCUUUUAAAGUCUGAAGCAUCUUGGCUCAAUUGCUCACAUUUAGGCAAGCCAGGCAAACUUGAGUUGUCAUUUCCCAUCAUGUACUGAAAGAAUGGUCACAGUUACAAAAGUCUAUCAUUAACCUCUUUCUUCAUGUCUUCUAAGCAAUGCCUGACUUGAUUAUUAAAACAAACCAUGAUGGCGGGGCACGGUGGCUCAUGCCUGUAAUCCCAGCACUUUGGGAGGCUUUACUGUUAACCUUUUCCUCAUCUUUCUAAGCAAAAGUGUGUGUGAGGGGAUGGUGGUGAGGGGCAUACCUGCACUGAUGAUUAGACUUAUUAUGCUGUGAACCAUUUCCUAGGGAGGGUAAAACCCAGACAUUUAGCUUUUUCAUACAAACAUGCAACCAAUAUCCAGUUUAUCAAUCUGAGAUUUAAUACAAUAAGCCAUUUGUUCAUACAGAAAUAUUAAAUGGUUUUUAACCAUUUUUUUCUUUUUAUUUUACCAUCAUCCUUUCCUUAAUACGAUACAUAGUUUUGUACAAACUAUGCAUUCAUGUUGGCUAGUUAAGACAGUUUAUAGAUUUGGGUAUAACAUGGUAAUAUGAUAUGAUUUAUGUUACCAUGAUCUGCAGUUGUUCAGCCUCUCAGUUUCUUGAAGACUUUUCCUGCUUUGACUUAGGAGCCUAUUUCAGAGCGUGACCCCUGAACAGCCCCGUGCCUUUUCAGGCACUGCAACUACCUACGAACUGUCUAUAUUCUCUCUGUGUUAUAGAGAAAAAGAAAAGAUAAGCAGGUGCUUUAUGCGUACAUCUACUUUCCCAAAGCAGCCACUGAAACCAUGUUAACUGAAAUAAAACUUCAAAUGCAGUCAAUCUUCAAAUGGAGUAAAGGACAACAGACUAGAUCAGAAAGCCCAGUUGCUUCCAGUGUUGACCUGCAUCACAGAGAUGAUAAGCUGAUUGUUAAUAAAGAGAGACUCAGAGUAGGCCUAUGUUGAGCUUUAGUGUGGGCUCUGUUACCAAAAUUGAUUCUGAAUAAAUCCCUUAAGCCUAUAUAUUCAGCGGCAAAAUGUCAGGGUUGUACGGGUAAUAAAACAUUUAGUUCCAGCUUUGAGCCGGUUAUAGGCAUACCUUAAAGAUACUAUAGGUGCAGUUCAAGACCAUGGCAAUAAAGCAAGUCACACAUCUUUUUUUAGUUUCUCAUUGUAUAUGAGUUAUGUUUACACUGUAUCCGGUAGUCUUUUUUUUUUUUUUUUUUUUUUUUUGAGACGGAGUCUUGCUCUGUUGCCAGGCUGGAGUGCACUGGCGCGAUCUCAGCUCACUGAAACCUCCACCUCCUGGGUUCAAGCGAUUCUCCUGCCUCAGCCUCCCGAGUAGCUGGGACUACAGGCGUCCACUACCACACCCGGCUAAUUUUUAUAUUUUUAGUAGAGCUGAGGUUUCACCAUGUUGGUCGGGCUGGUCUUGAACUCCUGAUCUCAAGUGAUCUGCCCACCUCAGCCUCCCAAAGUGUUGGGAUUACAGGCCUGAGCCACUGUGCCCAGCAUGUGGUACUAACUUUUGCUUCUGAAUACAGCAACUUCAGAACCCUUGUGAUAAGUGGUGGUUAAUCUGCAUCACAAAACCCUCACUCCACUAACAAGAUUCAACUAUUGAACAGAGAUUAAACGGAAAGUGCUAUGUGGAUAUGACUUCAACAAUAAAGAUGAGGAAAAAGUUAUUUAUACUUGCUUUACUUUUAUUUUUUCAGAUUUCCUUUACUUACAUUCCUUAUUCCCUCACCAACAGUAAUCCUCAUUUUUAUAGAAGGUAAGAGAGAAGAAGUACGCAGAGGUUACAGACUUGGGUCCAAAGAAAAUUACAGAGUCCAAACUGAGGCCAAGCCUGCCAAUACUCUCAGCAGCAGUUUUCUCCUCUAACACUCUUCCUCUAUCUGCCAUGAUGCCCAGGCAUACAAAGGGAGUUUUUCAUUGUUUCCUUAAGGUUAACUGCUCUGGAUGCUCUCAGUUCAAAUAAGAUGGUUUUAAAAUUCCCCUCCUCCUUGCCUUACAGCAAAGAAGAGGAAAGGAGAAAUUCAAAUGAAAAUAAAUCAUAUACACAAAUAUCAAGGUUCAAAAGCUGGAGGAUUUAAUUCAAUCAAUUUAGCAAGGCCCAAAAUGAAACCUGGUAAUGAAAAUGAAGACACAGCAAUAUUUUCCUCAAGAAAAUAGACAUUUGGGAGAAGAAAUGUUUUCUUAAAAAAUGUUUAUUUGGAAAAGUCAGCCUCUUACACAAGGUUUUGUAUCUAUACUUUUACUCUGUCAAUUACAGUGGUAUUUUAAAUGCAUUGAAUAUAAUUCA